rnacentral:rRNA from 1 species
GUAGGGUGCAAGCGUUGUCCGGAAUUAUUGGGCGUAAAGAGCUCGUAGGCGGUUUGUCGCGUCUGCUGUGAAAACUCAGGGCUUAACCCUGAGCCUGCAGUGGGUACGGGCAGACUAGAGUGUGGUAGGGGAGAUCGGAAUUCCUGGUGUAGCGGUGGAAUGCGCAGAUAUCAGGAGGAACACCGGUGGCGAAGGCGGAUCUCUGGGCCAUAACUGACGCUGAGGAGCGAAAGCAUGGGGAGCGAACAGG